UACGUAGGGGGCAAGCGUUGUCCGGAAUCAUUGGGCGUAAAGAGCGUGUAGGCGGCCAGAUAAGUCCGCUGUGAAAUCUCGAGGCUCAACUUCGAGCUGUCGGUGGAAACUGUCUGGCUAGAGUCCGGAAGAGGAGAAUGGAAUUCCUGGUGUAGCGGUGAAAUGCGCAGAUAUCAGGAAGAACACCCGUGGCGAAGGCGGUUCUCUGGGACCGUACUGACGCUGAGACGCGAAAGCGUGGGGAGCGAACAGG
rnacentral:rRNA from 1 species